rnacentral:rRNA from 1 species
UUAAAUCAUUAAAUUUAAAAGAUUUGSCGGUAUUUUAAAUAMUUAGAGGAAUCUGUAUAAUAAUUGAUAAUCCACAAUAMGAAAUACUUAAUAAUUUAUGUAUUGCUGUUUAAAGAUUAUUAUUAMUUAAAUUUUUYAAUUUUUAAUAUAAUUGAAUUCAAGUCAAAAUAUAGUUUUAUUAAGAUAUGGAYUACAUUYUUAUAUUAAAAUUGGAUUUAAAAGUAA